CGCGGGGUGGAGCAGCGGUAGCUCGUUGGGCUCAUAACCCAAAGGUCGGACGUUCGAAUCGUCCCCCCGCAA
rnacentral:tRNA from 1 species